rnacentral:rRNA from 1 species
GUAGGUGGCAAGCGUUGUCCGGGAAUUAUUGGGGCGUAAAGCGCGCGCAGGCGGUUCUUUAAGUCUGAUGUGAAAAGCCCACGGGCUCAACCGUGGAGGGUCAUUGGAAACUGGAGAACUUGAGUACAGAAGAGGAAAGCGGAAUUCCACGUGUAGCGGUGAAAUGCGUAGAGAUGUGGAGGAACACCAGUGGCGAAGGCGGCUUUCUGGUCUGUAACUGACGCUGAGGCGCGAAAGCGUGGGGAGCAAACAGGAUUAGAUACCCUGGUAGUCCACGCCGUAAGCGAUGAGUGCUAAGUGUUAGGGGGUUUCCGCCCCUUAGUGCUGCAGCUAACGCAUUAAGCACUCCGCCUGGGGAGUACGGCCGCAAAGGCUG